rnacentral:lncRNA from 1 species
AGAAGGUGUGUCCACUAUUUUCCCAGUGGUGUAUGAAAGGCAGGCCAGCUCCUGAACCCCAACGUUGUUCCUCAAGUUUUUUUUGCCUGGUCUGUAUCAAAAGACAGAAUCUUGAUGACUAAGACAUUUUCUUUGGUACCUACAAGAAGGAUCCAGCUCUCUACUUCUAUCAGCUCCUGGAUGACUACAAGAAAGGGAACCUCCACAUCAUUCCAGACACUCCUCUGGCUGAGGAGAGAUCAGGAGAUGACAGUGAUGUGUUGAUAGACAGAGACAUCAUGGCCUCCAUGCAGAGGAAUGUGUGGAUGGACAUAUAUUUAAGAAAGUCACUAAACCAGAAAAUACCACAUUACACCCUCUUAAAAGACUUCUAAGAUUGUUGUCAUGCCUACCACAGACAUUCAGAUGAUGUGUAUUCUUGAUUGUGAUUUCAUGUUUGGAGCUGAUGAAGGAGAAAGUACCUGGAAUGUCCUAGAAUUCUCAAGACCCAGGAGAUGAACAUAUGCCUGAGAAGAAGAACUAGUGUGGAACUGUCAGCCAGGUUUUUGAUGAGUGCUCAGACUGCUUCCUGAUCCCGCACCACAUUUACUAUAGUGGACAGAUGCUCUAGUCUCUGAUGAGGAGUUGCUAGCUGUUAGGAAAAACCUGGAAUGGGCUCCACUGCAUGAGGUUUGAAGUCUCCAGAGCAGCAAAGAGAGUGGGGAGUAGAACUCAUCAUCUUUAGGUCACUCAGCAUCGAUGGGUUGUUUGCAACCUUAGUAUACAGACAUGGAUGGUUGAACACAAACCUGUCAGGCUGAUAAAGAACUAGACAUCUACUAACGUCCUUGGAACCAUGUUCAGAUUGCUGCACAUCCUCCUGAAGAUGCCACAGAUGACAUGGUUCCUUGUGAUUGUUGUUCUCUUCUUGUUGUUGCUGUUUUCUUUUAACUUUUGAAGAGGAUACUUUAUUAGUCUGUUGCUAUGUUAGUCAUCUCCUGGCAUUAGAAACCAACAUCCCACUGUUUAAAUGUUUUACAUUUCCUACUCUUUUUGGAAAACACAACGUAUGCACAUCAUUUUUUCCUAUUGUUUCAAAGACAUACCACUAUGUAAUUCAACUUUACAAUUGUAAACAUUUUGACCAAUAUUCACAUGAAUAUAAAUUUUAUGUGUAAACUU